rnacentral:rRNA from 1 species
CCUACGGGUGGCAGCAGUGGGGGAUAUUGCACAAUGGGGGAAACCCUGAUGCAGCGACGCCGCGUGGGCGAAGAAGUAUUUCGGUAUGUAAAGCCUUAUCAGCAGGGAAGUAGAAAUGACGGUACCUGAGUAAGAAGCACCGGCUAAAUACGUCCCAGCAGCCGCGGUAAAACGGAUGGUGCCAGCGUUAUCCGGAUUUAGAGGGUGUAAAGGGAGCGUAGACGGCGAUGCAAGUCUGAAGUGAAAGUCGGGGGCGCAACCCCCGGACUACAUUGGAAACUGUAUGGCUGGAGUGCAGUAGAGGUAAGUGGAAUUCCUAGUGUAGCGGUGAAAUGCGUAGAUAUUAGGAGGAACACCAGUUGCGAAGGCGGCUUACUGGACUGUAACUGACGUUGAGGCUCGAAAGCGUGGGGAGCAAACAGGAUUAGAUACCCCAGUAGUC